CAAAAACAUGUCUAUAUGAUUGUUAUAUAAAGUCUAGCCUGCCCACUGAUUUGUUUUAAAGGGCCGCGGUAUAUUGACCGUGCGAAGGUAGCAUAAUCAUUAGUCUUUUAAUUGGAGGCUUGUAUGAAUGGUUGGACAAAAAGUAAGCUGUCUCGGUUAUAAUAAUUGAACUUAACUUUUAAGUGAAAAGGCUUAAAUGUUUCAGGGGGACGAUAAGACCCUAUAAAGCUUGACAAUAAUUUCGUUAUAUUAUAAAUUGUUAGUAUAACUUGAUUUUAACGGGAGUUUGUUUCGUUGGGGCGACGGGAAUAUAAUAAAUAACUGUUCUUUUAAAUAUAAUUACAAAAAUACUUGGUAAACAAUUGAUCCUCUAUUAGAGAUUAAAAGAUUAAGUUACUUUAGGGAUAACAGCGUAAUCUUCUUUGAGAGUCCACAUCGACAAGAAGGUUUGCGACCUCGAUGUUGAAUUAAGGUAUCCUUAUAAUGCAGCAGUUAUAAAGGAGGGUCUGUUCGACCUUUAAAUCCUUACAUGAUCUG
rnacentral:rRNA from 1 species